UCCUAGCUGCUAGCACAUUUGUUCUAUCUUUUCUCCAGCAUAGANCACUGGAGGAAUAAGGGCUGGGUAAGACGGGUGCCNGCCGCCGCGGUAAUA
rnacentral:rRNA from 1 species